UACGAAGGGGGCUAGCGUUGUUCGGAAUCACUGGGCGUAAAGGGCGCGUAGGCGGCCGAUCAAGUCGGGUGUGAAAUCCCAUGGCUCAACCAUGGAAGUGCACUCGAAACUGCAGGGCUAGAGUCCUGGAGAGGAAGGUGGAAUGCUUGGUGUAGAGGUGAAAUUCGUAGAUAUCAAGCGGAACACCGGUGGCGAAGGCGGCCUUCUGGACAGUGACUGACGCUGAGACGCGAAAGCGUGGGGAGCAAACAGG
rnacentral:rRNA from 1 species